AACGUAGGACACAAGCGUUAUCCGGAGUUACUGGGCGUAAAGGGUGCGUAGGUGGUGAGGUAAGUCGGAUGUGAAAUCUCGGAGCUUAACUCCGAAAUGGCAUUGGAAACUACCUCGCUAGAGGAUCGGAGGGGAGACUGGAAUUCUCGGUGUAGCAGUGAAAUGCGUAGAUAUCGAGAGGAACACCAGUGGCGAAGGCGAGUCUCUGGACGAUUCCUGACGCUGAGGCACGAAAGCCAGGGGAGCAAACGGG
rnacentral:rRNA from 1 species